GGUUUUUUUUUUUUUUUUUUUUAAUGUAUAUUUGUAUGUGUGAAUUUAUCUGUGGGGUAUUUGGAAGUUUUAUUUAGGGUUUAGCAUCAUCAACAUGAGUUUUUGAUUUAAUUUUGUGAUUACAUUCUAAUGGAAAAUGAAUUUGUACCUUGCAACAGAUUCAAUUUUGUAAAUGGGAUCUCCUUGGUUAAGUUAAUUGAAAUUUUGUUUAGAAGUUGCGAAGUGUUGAAUUUCAUCUAUUUUUUGCGUCAACUUUUGCACAAGGGUUAUGGUUGUGCCUCCUCUUCAACGCUUUUUUAUCAUUGUUGUCGAAGAAAAUCUCUUUCAUUUGACAUAUAAAUGAGCAUCCAUUAGAUAGUUGGUCUAAAUGUUGUCCAACAUUGCAACUUCGUGGAGAUAAGUAGCUUGUAUAAUGUAUGGCAAGUUCUUAUCAACUUUGGUUUAAAACUUGGCAAACUAGGAAUUUGACAACUAUAUGGAAGUUUCCUUCUAACGAAUUUGGGGUUUUAAUCUAUUUGAUAUGGUCUUGUAGAUUCAUUCAACUAGCCAGUCUUCGCCAAUGCAGGCAUAUAACCAGGCUAUCAAUGAUCUAGACAAGGAACUUGACCAUUUGAAGAAUGCAUUUGAGGUAUUUCACCCCCUUUUCCUGACCAAUUACUCCAUUUAAACGUAAUUGCAAACUUUAUGCAUUCCGGAUAUUAUAUUAUAAAAGUAUAUUAUAACUAAGUUGAUCCCAGUGUCUAUGUAACAUUUUGUUUAGUAUUUGUUCUUCUCUGUGUUCCUUUAGCAUGUUUAUUAAUCUGAGUAAAUAGUAGAAGAGAAUCACAGUGAUCUUUAGUGUAGUGUUCGCCAUUUUUACUCUACACAUUUUCUGGGGGAAUGUCUCAAAGUAAGAUCAAACAUACUGAAAUGUCAGAUUUUGAGGUGUCUAGUUGUGCACAAAAUUUGUUUUUGUUGAAACUUAUGCAUUUGUUUUUCUUUGAGAUAGGUCCUUGUUCUAGGGAGAUAUUUUGAUGCCUUUCUUAGUUCCUAAUUUUAAGGUCUGAUAGUGCUUUGCAUCAUAUGCAAGAAUGCUAUAGCAUUGUCAGAUUGUUCAGAUUUGUUUGUUCCAAUAGAAAGUCUAUGCCUGUUCAUAUUUGCCCUUAUAGGUCAAAUGAUUGACAGAUGUUAUAUCUGAGAUUUGCUAUGUGUUUGCUUUGUUAUGUAGCCAGUAGCCCUUUGCUGAGCUAAACUGUAUUUUUCUGAUUGAUCAUGUGCCAAUUGCAAAAUGUUUCUCUACUUAAUUUUGGCAGCAAAAUAUUAGUUAGUAUUUGGCUGUGAAAUUGGAGGCUAGCUCUAUUAAAAAUGGAGUUGUUGAAUUUGUUACAUUUCGCAUUAAGUCUAAGUGUCAUGGGCUUCUAAUCGCAAUUUCGAGUAUAAUGAAGAUGAGUUGUUUGGAGGGAUAGUGUGGCCCUAAGACUUGCACCAUUUCACAUGAUGAGUAUUGAUGCCUCUUUCUCACAAGCAUAUUGGAAAGUAAGCUUUUGGUUUCAAUGGUCCUGUAUUGAAGAAUUUAUCCGCACUUUUUAGCAUUCAUAUCUUUGCUGUUGAGUAUAUAAAUGCUUUGAUCAAACUUUAUUCUGAUGUUCAGAAAAUUUCUGCUUGUAGGCUGAGAUAGCAAAAUUUUCUCAGGAUUACUAGCACUUGACGCAAUUAAGAACCAAAGUGAACAGACAUUCAGUUGAUUGUGCUUAAUGGAAUUUAGCGGAAAAGGAGCGUGAUUUCAAUGAGACUUUGAUAACUUUGGUGUUGUAUUUAAUUAAUGAAUCAUGGCAGAUCAUCAAAUAUUAAAUGUAUGACAGAUGUUUAUCAAGUAAUGGCAUGCAGAUCUGUUUUGUGUAAAGCUGAAUUUCAUACUCUUUACCAGUCUUUAUUAAAUCCUUCCCUGGAUCUCAACCUCAUGUCUGCCUGUACCUGAUGUUUUCCAAGGUUCUGGUUCUGUUUGGGAUGCUAACAUUAAAUUUGAUUGUAGUGUCCUUUUCUCGAUCUCCAUUUCUCCUUUGACAUGUAAAUAAUUUGCAAUAAGCAAAAAGAUUAAUGUUUCAAAUAUAAAGGC
rnacentral:misc_RNA from 1 species